UACGUAGGUGGCAAGCGUUGUCCGGAUUUACUGGGCGUAAAGAGCGCGCAGGCGGUCGUUCAAGUCGCGUGUGAAAGCCCCCGGCUCAACUGGGGAGGGUCACGCGAUACUGAUCGACUCGAAGGCAGGAGAGGGUAGUGGAAUUCCCGGUGUAGUGGUGAAAUGCGUAGAUAUCGGGAGGAACACCAGUGGCGAAGGCGACUACCUGGCCUGUUCUUGACGCUGAGGCGCGAAAGCUAGGGGGGCAAACGGG
rnacentral:rRNA from 1 species